rnacentral:tRNA from 1 species
GGUGGCGUGGCCGAAUGGUUAGGCAGCGGACUGCAAAUCCGUUUAUGUCGGUUCGAUUCCGGCCGCCACCU